GUAGUCGUGGCCUAGUGAUUAAGGCGACAGAGUAGAGAUCUGUUGGGAUUUUCCCGCGCAGGUUUAAAUCUUGCCGACUAUA
rnacentral:tRNA from 1 species